AUGGUUACCCCAGUGAAUGCCACGCACCAUUUCCACUCUUCGAACAAACACUACAGGUCUUUUCUUUACAGCUUUUGUCUGGUUCCCCUCGUCCAACUAGGGUCAGAGCAGGACAGUAAGUGUCCUGAGUGGUUGCUGUUUUUCACACUAAGGAACUGCCUGUGCUGGUUUGGAUGUGCAGCCAUUCCCACACUGAGGCUCGAGACAAUGACGUCACGGCCCACAGGAAGAGAAGAGCAAGUUAAGAAACUGGAUUUUCUUUCAGGCGGCAUGUGGUGUUUAAGUCAGAGGUCAGAUCUCUCCUGCUGCCCGUCCAGUGAGGUCACAGCAUCAGACUGCUACGCCUGACUGUCUUCUGGAGCCACCAUCCAUAAUCUAAAGAACCCAGGGAAGAGGCCAAAAACCUGUCAGUACGACACCGGCUUCAAACUGCGAAGCUGAGGAUGCCAUAGGGAACAAACUAAGGCAACCGAGCAAAUAUGAUAUUUAUACAAAUUUUCAGAUUAAAAGCAAGAUUUUUUUUGUUUGUUUGUUUUAUCUUCUACAUCUUUGAAUUGUAUCUACCAAUUCUUUGUGUAAAACAUAGCAUUCAUUUAACGUGUAAAGGCUAAAUAUCAUAAUUUAUUAUGCACAUUUUAAUUAUGAAAAAUAUCCAAUUCAUAUUUAAAUGGCAUGCACUCAAAGCAAAACUUUUUAGUUCAUAUUUUUACUUAAUUACAGCAUUGUGUUCUUUUUCAUGUUACUGAUUAUCUACAGUAUGGUAAAAUACAAAUUAAUUUCAAACUUACGUGAAACGUGUCAUCCUCUGAAUGUAGCAACAUCCAAUCACGGUGGUCUUCUGAGGUAUGGGUCUUAACUCCAACAUAUUCCUGACAAUAAAAAUUAAACAGACAUCAAAUCUGAAUUCACAAGCUUCCGGAUGUCAUCUUUUUUGCGUUUGAACGCAGAAGGCAGCAACUCAUUAGCAGAGCAAGUCCCUUCUAAUGUAUUCUAUAGUCUUUGGUACUAAGCCAGAAAACUUUUGUUUUCAAAAGAUGUCAGCUGAACUCAAAGUGGAUUUAAAAUGAGCCUAAUGUUUCUGAGAAGCAAGUAUUUGUGAAAACCUAUUUUUUCCAGACACAUUUGCCAGUCAUGUUGAUAGAUAUCUAUCAAUGACAGCACUUAAAAAGAAAGUAUUUCCUGUCGG
rnacentral:lncRNA from 1 species